AAACCUGCGAAACUCGAAUGAACGAACGGAGAGAUUCAUCGACAUCCGACGGCGUACGGGCGCGCGCCUCGAUGUCGCGCGUGUGCUCCCCUAGCGGGUGUCGCGCGCGGCACGGGUCGCGUCCGGGUGUAUGUCCGUCGGCGUCGUGCACUUCUCUCUCAGUAAUGCAUCGCGACCCGUUCUCGGUCGGCUUAAGCGCCGUCCGACUCGCCCAGUGGUAGGAGACUACCGCUGGACCGCGACGGUGGCCGGCCGGCCGGGGACGGUAUUGGUACGAAACGCGCACGCGCAUCGCGCGCGUCCGGCCCGACGCAAGUAGGCGCCGUUACCGGUCGCGGUCCUGCCCAAGUGCGGACCGCUCGGCGGCGCCGCUGUCGUCGCAGCCGUGCUGCCUCGGACCGUGCGCGUCUCAGUCUGCGAUGAGUC
rnacentral:rRNA from 1 species